UUCUCUCUCUCUCUCUCUCCUCUCACUCUUCCUCUCACUCUUCCUCUCACUCUUCCUCUCACUCUUCCUCUCACUCUUCCUCUCACUCUUCCUCUCACUCUUCCUCUCACUCUUCCUCUCACUCUUCCUCUCACUCUUCCUCUCACUCUUCCUCUCACUCGCUCCCUCCGGCUGUUGCUUCUUCUCACUCCCCUUCUCCUGACCUUCCGAGCAACAAUAAAGAACUGAAGUGAACCAGGUCUGUGUAUGUUUCGCUGUCAUCACCGCCACAAGGAGCGAACGCGAUAUCUGGAGCCGAAACCUGGGAAUUUUUCUCCAACCACCCAGAGGAGAAACUGGUGGACGCGGACGCCAUAGAGCUUCUUACCCUGAAGCAGUACCUGUGGACCCCAUUCAGAAGGAUCACUUGGGAAGGCACCUCAGAGGAGAAGUGACCGAAACAAUCCCAUCUGGGUGCCUGAACGCCUGACACGGAGAGUGGCAAGACCAGAACUGGAAGUGCAAGAUGCCGACCCCACUGAUGCUGAUCCUGCUACUGAUCCUUCAGCAGGCAAUAGCGGAACCCAGAGAACUAUGGGGUCUGGUGAAGGCUUGGCCUCUACCACUCCCAGUGACUGAAACUGCACAUACCUUUCCCGCCUUUUUCUCUACCAAUAGUACACUUAAUCUCCCAUAUCUGCCCUUUGACAGCUCUAUGUGUUACUGGCAUUCCUUUUCAUAACCUCUCUAAAGCUGCCAAUAUGUCCAGGGAAUUAGGCAAGAUGUUAUCCACCAAUUGGUCCAGUGAGUUUGACGUGCUCACCACUCAGCUACGGCUAGAAAUAUUGAAUGUUAGUUCCCAAAAGGUAGAGGCACUGUCUGUAGCUCAGUUUGCUGAAGCCGUGCUAAAUGCCACCAAAGCCUGGUCAGGCAUGGGUGUUAUGGGUGUAUUACUCCUUGUAGGUCUUCUCCUACUUGGGAGAAAAGUCUGUUCCAUGCAACGGCAACAUCGGGAAGUGCGGAUGGCUCUGGUGCAGGCCAUGGCAGCUAUAGAGGAAGGCAUCUCCCCCAGGGUGUGGCUCAAUAUGUUGGACCAGUAGUCAAAGACGGGUAAGAUCAGGAGGUACGCAUACCAACCUAAGACAGGGCGCAGACCUUAGCUGUCUGUUGCCCUAUGACGGGUAAGGAUGCUGCGCCUCCCUGACAACCUAAGACAGGCAUGGUCCCCGAGCCUCAUUGUGUUAAAAAACAAAAAAGGGGGAGAUGUAGGGGCCGGCCUACAGCUGAGGCUGAGUCCCACUAUGGCUGAACACCGCCCUUCCACUGUAGCUGACCAACGCCCUAAGAUGGCGCCCGCUUCCUGGGCGCCACCCUUCCUGGUUUGGUGGCAUUAGCAUAAGGAAGUUGCUCCUAUAGGCUUGCCCCAUGCUUCCGCGCUCGUGCUCAACUCAUGCAGAAGGCAUGCUACCAAUCAGCUUAAAGGUCACGCAUGAUCUUGAUCACCAUAGGCCAGCUUCCUUUAUAUAAGGCAUAAGUUGAAAGAGAAGCCCUCUCUCUCUCUCUCUGUCUCUCUCCUCUCAUUCUUCCUCUCACUUGCUCCCUCCGGCUGUUGCUUCUUCUCACUCACCUUCUCCCGACCUUCUGAGCAACAAUAAAGAACUGAAGUGAACCAGGUCUGUGUACGUAUUGCUGUCGUCACCGCCACAAGGAGCGAACGUGAUAUCUAUUCUGGGAGAGAAUCAAAGGAGUAAAUUUCUUGUAUUAAGUUCACUCUGCAGAAUAAUCUGAAAGACUGGUAAGAAACUCAGUGCCUCUUCAAAGAUGAGCAUUUGGGGACCAUUUAGCGGGUCUGAAUCCCUAGCCCUCUGUCUCUCAACAGACUAUAAAUCCCCUAGACAGCGCACCACCCCGGGGCACUCUUGUCCCCUUCUGGCCUGAGCCAGGAGCUCUGUCCUCUCGCUUUAUCUCUAAAUAAAAGCCUCUCACUUGUUCUCCUACUUUGAGUGUUUGCGAAGUUCAUUCUUCGACUCCGUGAACAAGAACCCCGGCAUCAUUCUCAACAAAUGGUGGUGGAACUACUGUAUAUCCCUAUAGGGAAAAAAAUGAACUUCAACCUCUACCUGACAUCUUAAUGAAACGUUCUAAUAGAUUAUUGGCUUGCAUGGAAAAGUUCGUUCGCAGCUGAUAACAAAAGAGAAACCUGAC